rnacentral:rRNA from 1 species
CCUACGGGAGGCAGCAGUGGGGAAUAUUGCACAAUGGGCGAAAGCCUGAUGCAGCGACGCCGCGUGAGGGAUGACGGCCUUCGGGUUGUAAACCUCUUUCAGCAGGGAAGAAGUGAGAGUGACGGUACCUGCAGAAGAAGCGCCGGCUAACUACGUGCCAGCAGCCGCGGUAAUACGUAGGGCGCAAGCGUUGUCCGGAAUUAUUGGGCGUAAAGAGCUCGUAGGCGGCUUGUUGCGUCGGUUGUGAAAGCCCGGGGCUUAACCCCGGGUCUGCAGUCGAUACGGGCAGGCUAGAGUGUGGUAGGGGAGAUCGGAAUUCCUGGUGUAGCGGUGAAAUGCGCAGAUAUCAGGAGGAACACCGGUGGCGAAGGCGGAUCUCUGGGCCAUUACUGACGCUGAGGAGCGAAAGCGUGGGGAGCGAACAGGAUUAGAUACCCUGGUAGUCCACGCCGUAAACGUUGGGAACUAGGUGUUGGCGACAUUCCACGUCGUCGGUGCCGCAGCUAACGCAUUAAGUUCCCGCCUGGGGAGUACGGCCGCAAGGCUAAAACUUAAAGGAAUUGACGGCUGAGACGNGCGAGCGACACGAGGAGAG